UGGGGAAUAUUGCACAAUGGAGGGAACUCUGAUGCAGCGACGCCGCGUGAACGAAGAAGGCUUUCGAGACGUAAAGUUCUUUUAUAUGGGAAGAUAAUGACGGUACCAUAAGAAAAAGCCCCGGCUAACUACGUGCCAGCAGCCGCGGUAAUACGUAGGGGGCUAGCGUUGUCCGGAAUCACUGGGCGUAAAGGGUUCGCAGGCGGAAAUGCAAGUCAGGUGUAAAAGGCAGUAGCUUAACUACUGUAAGCAUUUGAAACUGCAUAUCUUGAGAAGAGUAGAGGUAAGUGGAAUUUUUAGUGUAGCGGUGAAAUGCGUAGAUAUUAAAAAGAAUACCGGUGGCGAAGGCGACUUACUGGGCUCAUUCUGACGCUGAGGAACGAAAGCGUGGGUAGCAAACAGG
rnacentral:rRNA from 1 species